rnacentral:rRNA from 1 species
UACGUAGGGGGCAAGCGUUGUCCGGAAUCAUUGGGCGUAAAGAGCGUGUAGGCGGCCCGGUAAGUCCGCCAUGAAAGUCCAGGGCUCAACCCUGGAAUGCCGGUGGAAACUGCCGGGCUGGAGUCCGGAAGAGGCGAGUGGAAUUCCUGGUGUAGCGGUGAAAUGCGCAGAUAUCAGGAGGAACACCAAUGGCGAAGGCAGCUCGCUGGGACGGUACUGACGCUGAGACGCGAAAGCGUGGGGAGCAAACAGG